UGGGGAAUUUUGGACAAUGGGCGAAAGCCUGAUCCAGCAAUGCCGCGUGUGUGAAGAAGGCCUUCGGGUUGUAAACACUUUUGUCCGGAAAGAAAUCCUUGGCUCUAAUACAGUCGGGGGAUGACGGUACCGGAAGAAUAAGCACCGGCUAACUACGUGCCAGCAGCCGCGGUAAUACGUAGGGUGCAAGCGUUAAUCGGAAUUACUGGGCGUAAAGCGUGCGCAGGCGGUUUGCUAAGACCGAUGUGAAAUCCCCGGGCUCAACCUGGGAACUGCAUUGGUGACUGGCAGGCUAGAGUAUGGCAGAGGGGGGUAGAAUUCCACGUGUAGCAGUGAAAUGCGUAGAGAUGUGGAGGAAUACCGAUGGCGAAGGCAGCCCCCUGGGCCAAUACUGACGCUCAUGCACGAAAGCGUGGGGAGCAAACAGGAUUAGAUACCCUGGUAGUCCACGCCCUAAACGAUGUCAACUAGUUGUUGGGGAUUCAUUUCCUAGUAACGUAGCUAACGCGUGAAGUUGGCCGCCUGGGGAGUACGGUCGCAAGAUUAAAAUCUUAAAGGAAUUGACGGGGUCAUAGC
rnacentral:rRNA from 1 species